rnacentral:misc_RNA from 1 species
UAACUGGGUGUGACCUGGAGCAAUGCA